UAAUAGCGAGAAGCUUGACAGGAUUUUGACAAUCCUUGAAGAUCUUAACAAGAGAGUCGAGCUGAUUGAGAGGAUUUUGGACAUUAGAAUGGAGGAAAAGAAUAAUCAGAGAUCUGAGGAAGAUGAAGAAAGAAAACAAGAAGAUGAAGGAGUAGAAAGACAACCAGAGGUAAUUGUAAAUGUUUCUUUAAAAGCUAUUUGAAAGGAAAGGUUUUACAAUGUAUUUUAAAGGUUAAAUACGUAGUAAACCUUUACAAUGUACUCUUUUUUUUCGCAGGCUGAAGAAGAAGGAGGACUAGAAAGAAAAGCAGAGGUAAUUGAAAAUCUUUACAAGCUAUUUUAAAGGUCUACUAAUUAUAUUAAUGAUUGACUUAUUGUUUUUAUUUUGUUGCAGAAUGACAAUGAAUCAUUUGAAGAUUCAAUCCGAGAGCCAAACACACAGUAUGGGAGCUAUCCGGGUGAUGAUGAAAACACCCAACGUGAUGUUGGUGAUGAAGUAGCUGAAGAAUCAUCAAAAGUACAGUGAUUUAUAUCUCUAAAAGUCUUACAAAAAUGAUUAGUAUCCUUUUUAUAAUUUUACAUUCUGUUAUCUUUUCAAGGAUAAGUCUCCUACUCCACGAUCCUCUACACCAAAUUUCAAUAUUUUGUCUGAAGAAAGUCUGGAUGUUCAAAAGGAUAAGAAGAGAGUUAGCAGAGGAAGAAAUGAGGUUAGCAUUUAAAAAAAUUUGUAUUAUCUAACCAAGUGUUUAUAAUAUUGUUUUCAAAUCUUUAAAAGUUUAUCUUUCAUGCAACUUCAGAACAAGAGAGUUAAACCAAGUGUUCAUGCUGAGGAUAAUCUUAAAACAAGAAAACAGGUUAGUAUUUGCAACAGUACUGUUUUUAAAAUUUGUCAAUUGUCUUGUUAUGAUAUUUACAAGGGAUUUUAAAAGUACUUUUAAUUGGUGUUUUUUACUAUUCUAGGUACCGAGAAAGAGGCAGAAACAAGUUGAUAGUGCUGAUGUUGAUGUUCCAACAAGGAAAGAGGUUAGUAUCUAAUUUAUUAUGAUUUUGAAAAUUUUGUUUACAAGGUAUUUUAAACAUCUGU
rnacentral:sRNA from 1 species